rnacentral:rRNA from 1 species
UAGGGAAUCUUCGGCAAUGGACGGAAGUCUGACCGAGCAACGCCGCGUGAGUGAAGAAGGUUUUCGGAUCGUAAAGCUCUGUUGUAAGAGAAGAACGAGUGUGAGAGUGGAAAGUUCACACUGUGACGGUAUCUUACCAGAAAGGGACGGCUAACUACGUGCCAGCAGCCGCGGUAAUACGUAGGUCCCGAGCGUUGUCCGGAUUUAUUGGGCGUAAAGCGAGCGCAGGCGGUUAGAUAAGUCUGAAGUUAAAGGCUGUGGCUCAACCAUAGUUCGCUUUGGAAACUGUCAAACUUGAGUGCAGAAGGGGAGAGUGGAAUUCCAUGUGUAGCGGUGAAAUGCGUAGAUAUAUGGAGGAACACCGGUGGCGAAAGCGGCUCUCUGGCUUGUAACUGACGCUGAGGCUCGAAAGCGUGGGGAGCAAACAGGAUUAGAUACCCUGGUAGUCCACGCCGUAAACGAUGAGUGCUAGGUGUUAGACCCUUUCCGGGGUUUAGUGCCGCAGCUAACGCAUUAAGCACUCCGCCUGGGGAGUACGACCGCAAGGUUG